ACUUUCCUAUUCCUUCUACUGGAACUGAUAAAAGAACUUCUUGACGGCUCAGUGUUAGUGAUGUCUGCGAGCAACCUCCUGCAAUCAACAAUGUACGAAGUUACACGUAUCCUUCGACACUCCUGGAAGCUGCAUGGGUCACGUGAUUAACAACUCGUCUACAAAUAUUAUCCAUCCCAACCAUGCAUUCCUCCAUCUAUGCAUAAACAUCAAUUUCUUCAAUUCUUUGUACAUUACAGAAAUUAUACAUAAAUGCCAUUCUAAGGACCCUUCAUGGGCUAUAAUGCUACUCGUGAUCGUUAUAAUGAUCAAGUUUCUUGCACAAUAUACAUUAUCUAUAUUUUUAUGUAGAUUGAAUGAAACCAAUUAGCGGGAUCUUGCUUUUGUAACAAUUUUAUUUCAAUGAAAUUGUUUAUGUUCAAUUCAUGUUCUAGAUUAGUACAAUGUACUAUAUUAAUACAGAUUGUUAUUUUAUCGUAAUUAAAGAUA
rnacentral:sRNA from 1 species